UGGCGGCAGGCCUAACACAUGCAAGUCGAGCGCGAACGGUCCUUCGGGACUUAUUAGAGCGGCGGACGGGUGAGUAAUGCAUAGGAAUCUGCCCAGUAGUGGGGGAUAGCCCGGGGAAACCCGGAUUAAUACCGCAUACGUCCUACGGGAGAAAGCAGGGGAUCUUCGGACCUUGCGCUAUUGGAUGAGCCUAUGUCGGAUUAGCUUGUUGGUAAGGUAACGGCUUACCAAGGCGACGAUCCGUAGCUGGUCUGAGAGGAUGAUCAGCCACACUGGGACUGAGACACGGCCCAGACUCCUACGGGAGGCAGCAGUGGGGAAUAUUGCACAAUGGGGGAAACCCUGAUGCAGCCAUGCCGCGUGUGUGAAGAAGGCCUUCGGGUUGUAAAGCACUUUCAGUAGGGAGGAAGGCCUGUAAGUUAAUACCUUGCAGGAUUGACGUUACCUACAGAAGAAGCACCGGCUAACUCCGUGCCAGCAGCCGCGGUAAUACGGAGG
rnacentral:rRNA from 1 species